rnacentral:rRNA from 1 species
CAGUCGCCGCGGUAAUACGUAGGGUGCGAGCGUUAAUCGGAAUUACUGGGCGUAAAGCGUGCGCAGGCGGUGCUGCAAGACCGAUGUGAAAGCCCCGGGCUUAACCUGGGAACUGCAUUGGUGACUGCAGCGCUGGAGUAUGGCAGAGGGGGGUGGAAUUCCACGUGUAGCAGUGAAAUGCGUAGAGAUGUGGAGGAACACCGAUGGCGAAGGCAGCCCCCUGGGCCAAUACUGACGCUCAUGCACGAAAGCGUGGGGAGCAAACAGGAUUAGAUACCCCUGUAGUCCCUGUCUCUUAUAA